GUAGGUGGUUAAAAAAGUUGGUGGUGAAAUCCCAGAGCUUAACUCUGGAACUGCCAUCAAAACUUUUUAGCUAGAGUAUGAUAGAGGAAAGCAGAAUUUCUAGUGUAGAGGUGAAAUUCGUAGAUAUUAGAAAGAAUACCAAUUGCGAAGGCAGCUUUCUGGAUCAUUACUGACACUGAGGAACGAAAGCAUGGGUAGCGAAGAGGAUUAGAUACCCUCGUAGUCCAUGCCGUAAACGAUGUGUGUUAGACGUUGGAAAUUUAUUUUCUGUGUCGCAGCGAAAGCAAUAAACACACCGCCUGGGGAGUACGACCGCAAGGUUAAAACUCAAAUGAAUUGACGGGGACCCGCACAAGUAGUGGAGCAUGUGGUUUAAUUCGAAGAUACGCGCAGAACCUUACCAACACUUGACAUGUUCGUCGCGACUUUAAGAGAUUAAAGUUUUCGGUUCGGCCGGACGAAACACAGGUGCUGCAUGGCUGUCGUCAGCUCGUGUCGUGAGAUGUUGGGUUAAGUCCCGCAACGAGCGCAACCCUCACUUUUAGUUGCCAUCAUUUAGUUGGGCACUCUGAAAGAACUGCCAGUGAUAAGCUGGAGGAAGGUGGGGAUGACGUCAAGUCCUCAUGGCCCUUACGUGUUGGGCUACACACGUGCUACAAUGGCAUUUACAAUAGGAAGCAAGACGGCGACGUUAAGCAAAUCCUAAAAAAAUGCCUCAGUUCGGAUUGUACUCUGCAACUCGAGUACAUGAAGCUGGAAUUACUAGUAAUCGCGGAUCAGCGCGCCGCGGUGAAUACGUUCCCGGGUCUUGUACACACCGCCCGUCACACCAUGGGAGUUGGUUCUACCUUAAGGCAAAGUUUAAUACCUUUGACCACGGUAUAGUCAGCGACUGGGGUGAAGUCGUAACAAGGUAGCCGUAGGGGAACCUGCGGCUG
rnacentral:rRNA from 1 species